AUUGAACGCUGGCGGCAGGCCUAACACAUGCAAGUCGAACGGGUGGCGGACGGAUGAGUAAUGUCUCGGCAACUGCCCGAUGGAGGGGGAUCACUAAUGGAAGCGGUAGCUGAUACCGCAUACCAUCGGAUGUGCCGAAAUGGGAUUAGCUAGUAGGUGGGGUAAAGGCUCACCUAGGCGACGAUCCCUAGCUGGUCUGAGAGGAUGACCAGCCACACUGGAACUGAGACACGGUCCAGACUCCUACGGGAGGCAGCAGUGGGGAAUAUUGCACAAUGGGCGCAAGCCUGAUGCAGCCAUGCCGCGUGUAUGAAGAAGGCCUUCGGGUUGUAAAGUACUUUCAGCGGGGAGGCGUUACCCGCAGAAGAAGCACCGGCUAACUCCGUGCCAGCAGCCGCGGUAAUAC
rnacentral:rRNA from 1 species